AGGAUAAACGCUGGCGGCGUGCCUAACACAUGCAAGUCGAACGCGCUUUCGGGCUUCGGUGCGAGAGCGAGUGGCGGACGGGUGAGUAACACAUGGGUACCUACCUUGGAGUGAGGGAUACCGGCGAGAAAUCGCCGACAAUACCGCAUAGGCUUCUUCACAAGGGAAGCAAAGUGACGCGAGUCACGCUGUGAGAUGGGCCUGUGGCCGAUUAGCUAGUUGGGGGGGUAACGGCUUCCCAAGGCGACGAUCGGUAGCUGGUCUGAGAGGACGAUCAGCCACACUGGGAUUGAGAACGGCCCAGACUCCUACGGGGGCAGCAGUGAGGAAUUUUCCGCAAUGGAGGCAACUCUGACGGAGCAACGCCGCGUGCAGGAGGAAGGUUUUCGGAUCGUAAACUGCUUUUCUCGGGGUACGAGCAAGGACGGUACCCGAGGAAGAAGCCCCGGCUAACUACGUGCCAGCAGCCGC
rnacentral:rRNA from 1 species